rnacentral:rRNA from 1 species
GCAGUCGAGCGGAUGAAGAGAGCUUGCUCUCUGAUUCAGCGGCGGACGGGUGAGUAAUGCCUAGGAAUCUGCCUGGUAGUGGGGGACAACGUUUCGAAAGGAACGCUAAUACCGCAUACGUCCUACGGGAGAAAGCAGGGGACCUUCGGGCCUUGCGCUAUCAGAUGAGCCUAGGUCGGAUUAGCUAGUUGGUGAGGUAAUGGCUCACCAAGGCGACGAUCCGUAACUGGUCUGAGAGGAUGAUCAGUCACACUGGAACUGAGACACGGUCCAGACUCCUACGGGAGGCAGCAGUGGGGAAUAUUGGACAAUGGGCGAAAGCCUGAUCCAGCCAUGCCGCGUGUGUGAAGAAGGUCUUCGGAUUGUAAAGCACUUUAAGUUGGGAGGAAGGGCAGUAAGUUAAUACCUUGCUGUUUUGACGUUACCGACAGAAUAAGCACCGGCUAACUUCGUGCCAGCAGCCGCGGUAAUACGAAGGGUGCAAGCGUUAAUCGGAAUUACUGGGCGUAAAGCGCGCGUAGGUGGUUUGUUAAGUUGGAAGUGAAAGCCCCGGGCUCAACCUGGGAACUGCUUUCAAAA